rnacentral:rRNA from 1 species
GAGAGUUAAACAGUACGUGAAAUUGUUGAAAGGGAAACGAUUGAAGCCAGUCGUACCUUCGGGUAAUCAGCCUUUCGGGUGCGAUUCUGUGGAGUGUGAGGAGCUUAAACACCUUCAUGUUUUGCAUAUUCGUACUCUUGGGUGUACUUGCCCGUGUGGUUGGUUAACAUCAAUUUUGGUGGUCAUAAAAUGACUGGGGGAAUGUAGCUUCGAUCUUGUAUUGAAGUGUUAUAGCCUUCGGUAGAUGUGAUGAUCGAGAUUGAGGAUUGCAACGGAUACCCUUCGGGGCUACCUGUCUGGUCUCUGAUCGUUGCUCUGGUGCCGAAAGCUUGCUUACGGUUAUCAAAGUCGAUGGUCAAUAGGUUAGAACGGGUUAAAUUCGUUAAGGAUGUUGACGUAAUGGCUUUAAACGA